CUUUACCUAAUAUUUAUGGUAUGUACUAAGUAUUCAAUUUACAAAAUUAAUUAAUUAUAUAUUUAUAACACAUUAUUAUAAUAUUACAAAAUACAAACUAAUUGCAAAAAAUUCCUACUGGGAACGCAUACAUACAAUGUUCAAUUGAUACAAUUACGCUCGCACUUAUGCACACCACCCAGUCAAACCAAAAGCUUCAUACCCGUAAUCCAUCCACAUACACAUACAGUUAGGUAUGAACUAAUGUACAUACAUACACACGUACAUACCCCGCACUGUAGGCGAACAUAUUGCGCACCGCACUUCAGCUACAGACUUCGGGCUAGAUUUUGCACACGGCACCUCGUAACUCCUACAGACGAGCCCCGAUUCGAGAGUUUUGAUGUGUAUAAAACCGAGAGGAGCAACAACGAGUCGAUCAGUGUAACAACAUUUGGCGUUUACAAAGCUAAACUUGAGUGAUUAACAAAAUAGAGUGACUAGCUGAUAUUAGCUAAAAGAUUCAAAUUUUUUUUCAAGUGUAGAAAAAGUAUAAACAAAUUAAAUCAACAAGAAUGCCUUGCCCAUGUGGAAGCGGUUGCAAAUGCGGUUCGGAGCCUAAGACUGGCAAUUGCGGUUGCGGUUCGGCGUGCAAGUGCUGUCCCUGUGGAAGCGCUUGCAAAUGCGGUUCACAAUCACAAAGUGGCAGCUGCGGUUGCGGUUCGAGCUGCAAAUGUGGCCAAUAGAGCAAUACAUAUAUCCCAUAACAUUCACUGAAAUAGGCUUACUUUAUUAUGUUUAAGUCAUAUAUGUACAUACAUACAUACAUACAUAAGUAUUUUUAAUUUAUUUCCAUAAGUUAAUCGCGUAAUAAUAUAAGUACAUACUUUCAUAGAAUCAGAAACACUUGUUUAUGCAUGCAUUAAUGCAAAGCUUGUUGGUUUGAUACCAAAAAGAGUAUUCUCAUCAAUAAAUAACAGAAAGAAAACUAAUUCCUCUAA